rnacentral:lncRNA from 1 species
CCGAAUCUAACCAGCUGUCGUUACUUUUGGUAUUUGGUUUAGGAGCUGAGAAGAUUUUGGACGAUUUUCGACGGAUAAUAGUGUCUUCCUUGGUGUCUUCUAUUCCAGAUUUCGGUCUUCGAGGCGGUGAAGGAGGACGGGAAAUUUGGCGGGUCAUUCCGGAAGACGGGACGGGAAGGAAUCGGUUUGCGAUCGAGGUAGCGGUUGGUGUUUGGUGUUUUACUUUCCGCGGAGGUUGCGGCACAUACCUGAUGAAACUGGCAACUAAAAUAUUCCAAUCCGAUCAUGCCGGAAACCAUGAGUUCGCCUCCGUAGAACCCACGGAAGUAUUCACGUUAUCUCGUACCCCGGUGGCCAUCAAUCCGCCUGAGAUCCAAGAUUGGCGGGUUAAACCUUGAUCAGCUCGUCGAGAAGCAAAAGUCCAACACCAACAUCCAAGCCGGAAGCUGCGGUCAAUGCAAAUCCGAGAGCAUCCGAAGAAUGCCAAGUUGGAGAAGAAUCGGCGAUCCGGAAGUUAAAUUUCGUGAAAAAGUUAAUAUUAUUGUGAAAUUAGAUGUGUUUGAAUAAAAAAUAAAAUAAAAAACAA